AUUGGCUGGGAAAACUAAAAUUCUUUAUUUUUAUUCUUUUAUUAAAAUAACUUUGUACAAUAUACCAUUUUUAUGUACAUACAAGAAUAUAUAUGUGAAACUUAUUUUAAAAUAUGUUUUAAUAAUCAAAUGUUCGAUUCUGCUGUGUCAGUAGCACUGUAGCACACUAGCGCACAUUUGAACUCUCGUAAGGUCAACGGUGUACUUGUGCAGAUGAUUUGAUUGGUUAUCGAUCUGCAAAUGCACAGUUGACCUAAAAGGGGUGAAAUGUGCGGCGCGGGUAGUAUAAAAAGGGCCCGAAAACGCUACUUCUACGUCACUUUUCCCAUUUUGGCAUAAGGAAGGACUCUGUCAAAUUUAUUCCAAAGAAAAGUAAGACCAGUUAUUUUAUAUAGAAAAUAUUUAACGUUAACGUUUAUCUCUUAUAGGAAACGUUAUUUUAUUCCUUUUUGGAACUUUUAAAUGAAAAGUGCAUUAAUAACAAUGCUUUACUAAAUUUAGAUAUUCUAUUUGGAAAUUAUAAAAAUGUUUAAAUUCACGUUCACGGC
rnacentral:lncRNA from 1 species